rnacentral:rRNA from 1 species
AUUGAACGCUGGCGGCAUGCUUUACACAUGCAAGUCGAACGGCAGCGCGGGCUUCGGCCUGGCGGCGAGUGGCGAACGGGUGAGUAAUACAUCGGAACGUGCCCAGUAGUGGGGGAUAGCUCGGCGAAAGCCGGAUUAAUACCGCAUACGACCUGAGGGUGAAAGCGGGGGAUCUUCGGACCUCGCGCUAUUGGAGCGGCCGAUGGCAGAUUAGCUAGUUGGUGGGGUAAAGGCCUACCAAGGCGACGAUCUGUAGCUGGUCUGAGAGGACGACCAGCCACACUGGGACUGAGACACGGCUCAGACUCCUACGGGAGGCAGCAGUGGGGAACUUUGGACAAUGGGCGAAAGCCUGAUCCAGCAAUGCCGCGUGUGUGAUGAAGGCCUUCGGGUUGUAAAGCACUUUUGGCGGGAACGAAAAGGACUGUGCCAAUACCACGGUUCGAUGACGGUACCCGCAGAAUAAGCACCGGCUAACUACGUG